GACGUAGGGCGCGAGCGUUGUUCGGAAUUACUGGGCGUAAAGGGCGCGUAGGCGGUCCGAUAAGUCCCGUGUGAAAUCCCUCGGCUCAACUGAGGAAUAGCACGGGAAACUGACGGGCUUGAGUUCGGGAGAGGGAAGCGGAAUUCCGGGUGUAGCGGUGAAAUGCGUAGAUAUCCGGAGGAACACCGGUGGCGAAGGCGGCUUCCUGGACCGACACUGACGCUGAGGCGCGAAAGCUAGGGGAGCAAACGGG
rnacentral:rRNA from 1 species